rnacentral:rRNA from 1 species
UACGGGGGGCGCAAGCGUUGUUCGGAUUUACUGGGCGUAAAGGGCUCGUAGGCGGUUUGUCGCGUCGGGAGUGAAAACCCAGGGCUUAACCCUGGGCUGGCUUCCGAUACGGGCAGACUAGAGGUAUGCAGGGGAGAACGGAAUUCCUGGUGUAGCGGUGAAAUGCGCAGAUAUCAGGAGGAACACCGGUGGCGAAGGCGGUUCUCUGGGCAUUACCUGACGCUGAGGAGCGAAAGUGUGGGGAGCGAACAGG